UCUCCAGACUCCUACGGGAGGCAGCAGUGGGGAAUAUUGCACAAUGGGGGGAACCCUGACGCAGCGACGCCGCGUGAGUGAAGAAGUAUUUCGGUAUGUAAAGCUCUAUCAGCAGGGAAGAAGAUGACGGUACCUGACUAAGAAGCCCCGGCUAACUACGUGCCAGCAGCCGCGGUAAUACGUAGGGGGCAAGCGUUAUCCGGAUUUACUGGGUGUAAAGGGAGCGUAGACGGCAGGGCAAGUCUGGAGUGAAAGCCCGGGGCCCAACCCCGGGACUGCUUUGGGAACUGUUUUGCUGGAGUAUGGGAGGGGUAAGCGGAAUUCCUGGUGUAGCGGUGAAAUGCGUAGAUAUCAGGAGGAACACCGGUGGCGAAGGCGGCUUACUGGACCAUAACUGACGUUGAGGCUCGAAAGCGUGGGGAGCGAACAGGAUUAGAUACCCGCGUACG
rnacentral:rRNA from 1 species